rnacentral:rRNA from 1 species
GAUGAACGCUGGCGGCGUGCUUAAUACAUGCAAGUCGAGCGAACAGAUGAGGAGCUUGCUCCGCAGUCGUUAGCCGCGGACGGGUGUGUAACACGUGUAUAACCUACUUAUAAUACUGGUAUAAUCACGGGAAACCGGAGCUAAUACCGGAUAAGAUAUUGAACCGCAGGGUGGAAUAGAGAGAUACGGUUUUUCUGUCUCUAAUAGAUGGAUCUGCGCCGGAUUAGCUAGUUGGUAAGGUAACGGCUUAUCAAGGCAACGAUGCGUAGCCGAACUGUGAGGCUGAUCGCCCACACUGGAACUGAGACACGGACCAGACUCCUACGGGAGGCAGCAGUAGGGAAUCUGCCGCAAUGGGCGAAAGCCUGACGGAGCAACGCCGCGUCAGAGAUGACGGUCUUCGGAGCGUAAAACUCUGUUAUUAGGGGAGAACAAAUGUGUAAGUAACUAUGCACGUCUUGACGGUACCUAAUCAGAAAGCCACGGCUAACUACGUG